UCUCCAGGCAUUCCAACUGGACAGACUCUGCAAGGCGGUGGUGAUGCAGCUUCACAUGGUGCUUGAAUUGUUGUCUUUCCUGGAACACCUGGCAGUCCUGGUGCUCCCGGCUUUCCUGGACGUCCUGGCUUUCCUGGUUUUCCAUUUGGACCAGGUCCUCCUGGACAACAUCCCUUUAAAUUGAACAGCAUUUUGCAAAUGAUUCAAGAAUUUCAAACUUACUCCACAAGAUCCUCCACCAGCAGCUUCAAUAACUGGAGGUGCUUCACUAUAUUUUUCUCCACCACCUCCACCUCCAGCUGGUGCAGCAUCCUUGUAAGCGGCUUGUCUUGGGAAUCGAGAUGUUCUGUUUGUGAAGGGCAAGUUCUUCAUGAUCUCAACCUCACGCCAAAUUUCUCUAGCAUGAUCCUGAAGGAAAAAUUUGAAAGUAAUUGAAAAUUUAUUCACAUAUUCACAUAUUAUUCACAUGGUUCAUUAAUCUUACCUCACAAGAGACAACUUCAGUAUUAAUGAGCUG
ensembl:ncRNA D2024.16 ncRNA